GCCUACGGGGGGCAGCAGUGGGGAAUAUUGCACAAUGGGGGAAACCCUGAUGCAGCAACGCCGCGUGAAGGAAGACAGUUUUCGGAUUGUAAACUUCUUUUCUUAGUGAAGAAGCAAGUGACGGUAUCUAACGAAUAAGCACCGGCUAACUCCGUGCCAGCAGCCGCGGUAAUACGGAGGGUGCAAGCGUUACUCGGAAUCACUGGGCGUAAAGAGUGCGUAGGCGGGGUAAUAAGUCAGAUGUGAAAUCCUGUAGCUUAACUACAGAACUGCAUUUGAAACUGUUACUCUGGAGUGUGGGAGAG
rnacentral:rRNA from 1 species